rnacentral:rRNA from 1 species
CGCUGGCGGCGUGCCUAAUACAUGCAAGUCGAGCGAACAGACGAGGAGCUUGCUCCUCUGACGUUAGCGGCGGACGGGUGAGUAACACGUGGAUAACCUACCUAUAAGACUGGGAUAACUUCGGGAAACCGGAGCUAAUACCGGAUAAUAUAUUGAACCGCAUGGUUCAAUAGUGAAAGACGGUUUUGCUGUCACUUAUAGAUG